UACGGAGGGUGCGAGCGUUAUCCGGAAUUACUGGGCGUAAAGCGCGCGCAGGCGGCGGUGUAAGUCGGAUGUGAAAGCCCAGGGCUUAACCGGGGAACUUCAUUCGAAACUGCACGGCUAGAGUAUGGGAGAGGGAAGCGGAAUUUCAGGUGUAGCGGUGAAAUGCGUAGAUAUCGGAAGGAACACCAAUGGCGAAGGCAGCUUCCUGGGCCAACACUGACGCUCAUGCACGAAAGCGUGGGGAGCAAACAGG
rnacentral:rRNA from 1 species